rnacentral:lncRNA from 1 species
CCUUUUUGAAACCUGUUGGCAGUAGGUUUGUACUUGUAGGAAGGGUUCUUCUUGAAUCUCAUGUUUCCAAAUUUCUUGGCAAACAGUGAUAGAGAUUGAUCUUCUAACUGUUCUAGCUCUUCCAUUGUAUAUAACUCUUCAUCACCACUGGAAGAAGCAGUUUGACCCAUCUCUAGUAUAACAAAUUCCUGAGUGGUCUUAGAAAGAACAACAACAUCCUUCUUUUCUUCCGGUACAAGUGACUCAACAACUAGAGCUCUCGAAUGGUUCAGUGUUUUACCCCAGCCAUAUCUCUGUUUACUCUGAACUUGCUCCAGUUCAUAAGUUUUCAAAACUCCGUAGAGUCUUUCCAGAGAAAUCUCAUUCAGAUCUCUACUUUCCCUGAUAGCAGUGAUUCUGUGUUCCAGAUGUUCGGGAAGGGUUAAAAGAAACUUCAUGUUGACCUCUUUCUUGUCGUAGUAUUUCCCAUUCAGAUUCAAGUUAUUAAUCAGAUUAUUGAGUCUGAUAAAUAAUUCUGAAAUCCCUUCUCCGGGAUUGGAACCAAACUGUUCAUACUGAGCCAUCGGUAUCUCUUUCUUGUUUUCCCUAACUUCUUCUGAGCCUUCGUUUAUGAUUUCUAGAGUGUCCCAGAUUUGCUUCGCGUUCGUACAAUUUACAACAGCAUUGUACAUGACCGGAUCUAGGGAUUCAAUUAAGAUCAGUUGAAGAGCAUCAUCUAGGUUCAUCUGUUCACUCUCUUCAUCUGUAUACUCAGAAAGUUCUUUCGGAAUUGUCUGAUGAGGUAUUAACACACCAUCUUCUUCGUGUGCUAAUAUGACGUUCAUCGGAGUAGAAACACCCUUGUUCAGAAUCCCGAUGUAUUUUCUGUUCGCAGUGCGGAGGAAUAGUAUCAUGUGCCUCUUCCAUAGGCCAAAGUGUUCUUUGCUGAACGGUGGGAUUUUAGUGCUACUAAUCUUUUGUGUACUCAUGUUUAAGGAUUUGAAGUGAAUAGUGUUUGGAUGAGAUUUGGAUUUUGAAAGAAAAAUAUUUUAAAUCAAAAUUAAUUAAUUUUUUUUUUAAAAAAAUAAUUAAUUCGAAAAAAAAUAUUUGGAUUUAAAGUGAAUAGUGUUUGUAUGAGAUUUGGAUUUUUGAAAGAAAAAUAUUUUAAAUCAAAAUUAAUUUUUGGAAUAAAAAUUAAUUCAAAAAAAAAUAUUUGGAUUUCUGAAAGAAAAAUAUUUUAAAUGGUAUCAACCGCUCUGAUGCCAAUUGUUAGGUCCUGGAACGAUUGUAGAAGGGGGGUUGAACACAAUCGUCACUUAAAAAUAAUCGCGGCGGAAUAAUUUGAUUGAAGUUUAACUUGUUAAUCAGAUAUUAAUUAAUAUAACAAUGUGAAAGUCGUUAUAUAAUUAAUAUGGUUCGUUUUAAUGUUCGCUAGUUCGUAGAAUAAAUUUGACAAGAAGUAUUCUAACUUAGCGGUAUAAAACAACCGAGUGAUCAAAGCACAGUAAACUGUGGAUUUAACGAAUAGCAAGUUUAGCACAACUUGAAAGCUUACAAUGACUUUGAACAAGAACAAAUGAAGGGGGAAGGCCAUAUUUAUAGGCAAAUCCCAUGAACAAGCAAGACAGUUAAAGACAAGACAAAGCAAAGCUAGCUAAGACAAUUUUACAAGGGGCAAGACAAACAGAAUGGUUGUCUAUAGCUUAGCAAGACAUUUCAGGCAAGGUAAGACAAUCAUAUGGGAAGGAAAGACAAUCUAAGCCAAGGUAAGACAAUCCUUAUGGAAGGAAAGACAAUCUAAGCCAAGGUAAGACAAUCCUUAUGGAAGGAAAGACAAUCUAAGCCAAGGUAAGACAAUCCUUAUGGAAGAAAGACAAUUUAAGCCAAGGUAAGACAAUCCUUAUGGAAGGAAAGACAAUCUUAGCCAAGGUAAGACAAUUUCAAUCCAAGGUAAGACAAACAAUUGGCUUGUCUUGGAAGCUAAAGAUUAGACAAUCUUUGGGAAGGUAAGACAAUCAAUUGGCUUGUCUUGGAAGCUAAAGAUUAGACAAUCUUUGGGAAGGUAAGACAAUCAAUUGGAUUGACUUGGAGUUCUAAAUGUAUAUAACAAUUCAUUUUCUUUUAUAUAAUUAGCCAAUUAAUAUUCACUUCAUUAUAUUAAAUGCAUAAAUUCAUAAAUUAAAUUAAUUCGAGAUAGAAUCAAUUUAAUAUAUAAAUUACACAUCCAAUAUAAUUAUUUUGAGAAGUGAAAUAUUUAAUUAGAUAAUCAUAUUAACCCAUUUCCUUCUGCAGUAGAGUCUUCAGUCUUCUUUAAACAAUUCCGAUCUUUGUCUUGAUUGAACGACUACUUUCAUUUGACACGGAAUAUUUAAUCUGAUGAGCUGAUACACAAAUGUACUGUCUGGUUCAUCUGUAACUAGCUGAAUUAAAUAUUCUUUGUCAAUUAAACAAUUAAGCUGUGGCUUGUUCGUCGAUUCUUCGUCUUCGAGUUCUUCUUCAUUUGUAGACAUAAUAUGGAAUCUUCUGAAUAAAUAAAGUAUUUAAACUUUAUACCUACUGAUCUUCUGGACGUGCCACAAAAUAUUAUUUUUGCACUGAGGCUUGAACAUAUUAAUGAACUUCUCCCAGUGGUUCAUAGCAGCAUCCUGAAAUUCUUCUGACAUAAAAUCUUCAAUAAAUCAUUUGACGUUCUUCGUACGGAUUCCGAUUAACAGCACUUGCUAUAUACUUGCUUUCUUAUCAGAGUUGAGUUGAUACCUCUUAAUUACAAAUAGGCUUAACAUAUACCUUUCAGAGACCUUUGCUCCUAUUGCAAGAUUAGAAGCAAUCCGAAUCUUUCUGGCCUAUGCUGCUCACAAGAAAUUCAAAGUCUUUUAGAUGGAUGUGAAGAGUGCAUUUCUCAAUGGGGAGCUGGAGGAAGAAGUGUAUGUUGAACAAACUCCAGGUUUUGUAGACUCCAAAUUUCCAGAUUAUGUCUACAGACUUGACAAGGCACUCUAUGGACUAAAGCAAGCUCCAAGAGCAUGGUAUGAAACUCUGGCUCAAUUUCUUUUAGAAAAUGGAUUCAUCAGAGGUACAAUUGACAAAACUCUAUUUUAUCUCAACCAUGGUAAAGACCUGCUUUUAGUUCAAGUUUAUGUGGAUGAUAUCAUUUUUGGCUCUACUACUUCUAAACUCUGUGAAAGAUUUUCAAAGCUUAUGCAGUCUAGAUAUCAGAUGAGCAUGAUGGGAGAGAUGAAUUAUUUUCUGGGACUUCAAGUCAAACAGACUGAUGAGGAUAUCUUCAUAAAUCAGUCUAAAUAUACCAGAAACCUGCUAAAGAGAUUUGGCAUGCAGGACAGUUCAGCUGCCACCACUCCCAUGGCAACAGCCACUAAGUUAGAUAAAGACACUGGAGCAUCAGUGGAUAUUACUAACUACAGAGGCAUGAUAGGCUCACUUCUAUAUCUGACAGCAAGUAGACCUGAUAUCAUGUUUGCUACCUGUCUCUGUGCAAGAUUUCAGGCUGACCCAAGAGAACCACAUUCAGUAGCAGUCAAAAGAAUUUUUCAAAUACCUCAAGGGUACAAUUGAGAUGGGACUCUGGUACCUUAGAGAAUCAGACUUUACACUAAUUGGCUACUCAGAUGCAGAUUUUGCAGGAUGCAAAAUUGACAGGAAAAGCACCAGUGGAAGCUGCCAAUUUCUUGGAGGCAAAAAUCUAUCUCCACAUCCACUGCAGAAGCAGAGUAUAUUGCUGCAGGAAGCUGUUGUGCUCAGAUUUUAUGGAUGAAAAAUCAACUACUGGAUUAUGGGUUAACACUGACUCAAAUUCCUAUUUAUUGUGAUAACCAAAGUGUUAUUGCCAUGACAGGAAAUCCAGUACAUCACUCUAUGACCAAGCACAUCAGCAUCAGAUAUCACUUCAUCAGAGAACAUGUAAUGGAAGGGACAGUAGAGUUACAUUUUGUUCCUACAGAUCAGCAAUUGGCAGAUAUCUUCACCAAACCCUUGGCUGAAGCAACAUUUACAAGACUUGUAAAUGAACUAGGGAUGAUCUCCGAUCCUCUCUAAACUCUGCUUAGCUAUCUAAACACAUAUCUAUACUAGUUAUCUGUUACUAGCAUGAUUUAUAAAUGCUUAUGUUAUUCUCUGACUAAAACUCUGAUGAUUAUACUCUGACUCGACAAACACUGAUUGCAAGAUUUUUCUCUGUUGAGUGACAUUCCUGUGAAGAAAUUGUUGCAAAUUACUGAAUUCUAGUCAUAAAUAGCUCUAUAGUCUGAUAUUUGUGAAAUUACUGCCUUACUUCUUAGAUCUUAGAUAUGCAAUCAGUGUAGAAUUUUCUUUAUUCCCUUUAUGAGCACAGAGUCAUUAAACCUUAAGUCUGGAUUAGUCGAACAUGUGCCUUCUCUAUUCAGAAAAGAAAAGAAAUUCAAAGAAAACAGCAAAAACCUACUCAGGUACUCUUUUGAGAUCAUAGACAUUUUGUGUUAGGAACGACCCAAGUGCAUUGCUGGUAUUAAGUAAAAUGCAUCAGAAAAGCAAUAUUUUUCUUGGGGACUUUUCACAUUCUCUGAUUACUGGAGAAAUACUCUGAGCAAAAGAAAAUUGAUCUGAUGAUGGUUAUAACUCACUUACCCUGAGAAGUUUCCAUUCUAAAGAUUAUCUGUGACUCAAUAAAGAGAAGCUUAUGUAAACUCUGAUCCAUACCAUAGUAGACUCUGCUGCCUACGAAGUGUUUAAAUAAUUUUCUGACAAUCUGGUUCUUUCUAAAAAUCUUGAAAAUUUUGUCAAUCUUUGUGACAAACCUAGAUUCAUGAAUUCGCACACUUUACACUCCACGUCUGUGAUUAACAAAUUUUUUGCCUUCGAGUGAUUUUUGAUUAAAUUCAAAAAUAUAUUUGUAAACUCUGAGGACAAAUAUUUGUCUUAUAUCAAGACUCUUGAUAUGCCAUCUCUCAUCAGAUAAAUUUUGUGUACAUAUCUUGUCUUUGUCGUAUAUUCUGAUAUUUACUUAAAUUCUGGCUCAAGUCAAUCUCUGAUUGACUUCGGAAUUUAUUAAAUGAAUAUUUGUCUCAGUAAACAUCAGAUAAAAAUUUCUAACGGUACAAAAAUCUGUUUGCAUUCUUUAGUGGAGUAAAACACGGGUGAUUAUUGUGUUUUAUCGGUAAUAGUUGUUUUACACAAGUACACACGCAACAGUGAUAAUUACCUCUCCACUAUCAUUUUUUAUGCCGUUAAGGGAGUGCCACGUGUCCCACUAACACUUUUCUUUUCAGCAGUUCGCGUGCAUACAUAUAUAUACAGAGUAAAAAGAUUUUCUUUUUCACUUUUUACACACAUUUUUCACUGUUAUCAAUUUCUAUCUCUUCCCUAUUUUCUCUUGCACAUUUCAUCAAACACCUUACCUAUAUCUCACGAUCUUCAAAUUUUUCAGCAAAAUGACCACCACAGCCUUCGAUUCUAAUGGAGCAAAGUUUGUCACCAACAAUUAUGCUGCUAUUCUCAACAAUGAUGAAGCCCCAACGGGUUUUCAUCUGAUUCAAGAUUUUAUGGCACACAGUGACCUAAUGUAUGCCUUCACUCAACCUAAGUCUAUCUCACCGGCACAAGUACUCACAUUCUGGCGAACGGCCAACUAUAAUGAUGGGGGUGAUCAUGGUUCACCUUCACUUACUUGUCAGUACAAUGGUCAGGAGUACUUCGUAUCUCCAGCCACAGUCAGGAAGGCUCUUCAUCUUCCUGACUCCAACAAGUUUGACUCCUCAGUUUCAACUUAAACUCUGAGGGAUAUGAUGACCUUCUUUGAGUACUCAGGCAACACUGAUCAUAUGGGGGAUCUCCUAUUUCUUCUAUGACUGCAUUACAAGGGCUUUUGGCAACAAAUGCAGCAAUUUUGAUGCUAUUCCUCUACUCAGUCAGCAAAUCGGGUACUCUCUUAUCCAUAAUCUCAAAUUUGAUAUUGCUACACCACUGUUGAGACUGAUUGGUGAGAGAAGAACAGAGAAUAGGAAUGUCAUAUACCAUGCAAGAUUCUGUCAAUUAAUAUUCUCUUAUUGUUUCCCUGAUUUGCCAUUACCUGAAACUGACAUUAAGCCUCCUUUUAAACUCACCAAGCGUGCUUUCACUGACUUGAUCAAAAAGGAUAGCAAAAAGUUGGCCCCACCUGUAUUUGCUAUUCCUGUCACAGUACAGGAUAAAUUGAAGCUUGCACUGCCAGAUAAUUACAACCCUCUAUUCUCUGAUGAGAAUCAACCUCAGUCCUCCACUGCUCAGAAACAGGUUGCACCAACCUCUGGUCCUUCCCAACAAGGGCCAGUUGUAAAAUCUGACCAUCACUCUCCUAAGAGUAUUCUUAGAUCCUCUAAGACCUCACCACAACCUUCCCCUUCACCACAGCCUAGAAGAAAGAGGAGGUUUCUUCAGCCUCCAUUUGAUUCUGAUGAUGCAGAUACACCUCCUCCUCCAUCACCUCCACCAGUCAAACAGCCCAGGAAGAAGGUCAAGGCCACAAAUAUCACUGAUUUGACUCUUGAUCCUCCGUCUCAAUCAGCAGAUAGUCUCCUGGCCUUGGUUCCCUUCUCUGAUCAACCACAGAUUACAGAUCCUGUAUUAGUUGAACCACUAUCUGCCAUGCCUCUUGCUGAACCAACAACUGCAGCUAACAUUCUCAUGUCAGAUGAUUUUCAUGCAGCAACUCCAGUUGUCAGUCCAACUGCAUCUACUUCACACAUACAUCAGGAUUCUCUGACUUCAAUUAAAGAUCAUGAUGCAGCUCCUGUUCAGGAGAUAUCUUGUGCUGUAAAUUCUGAUGCAGCCACAGAAGCUCUGCCUUCCAAACUCUGAGCCUUUCAGCAGUUGAUGAUGAUGAGGCUGAGGAGGUAACUUCUGUUCAGCUUUCAGUUCAAGCACCAUGCACUGAAUCUUCUCUUCCUACAGCACAAACACAACCUCCUAAAACCUCUGCCAGAGCUAAAGUCUGUCAAGUUGCAUAUCAUCAUGGUAUGUGCAGAGAUGUGCCUCCAUCUCUUAAAGCCAGGGUUGCUGGUAUUGAAGCUACUCAGCACUCUAUGCUCAAUACAUUAUCUGAGCUGAGUUCUUCUGUUGCAUAGAUGGUUGCUUUUCUUACCUCUGUUGAUGUCAAAACGGGGGAGAAAAUGCCAAAAGACAAAUGCUCUGAUGAUAAAAAUGUGUCAAAGAAGAAGCCAGAUGAUGAUAAGGAUGGAAAGGGAGCUGGAAAAUCUGAUAAACGGAAACAGAUUGUUCUGCAAAUCAGAGAUAAAGAGAAAACUGCUAAUGCUGAACGGAGUAGGAGAAAUAAGGAUGGAAACUCUGAAGCAGUCAGAAAAUCAAAGUCAAUCAAGCCAAUCUCAAAGGAACUGACUAUAAUUGAUCCUGUGAUGCCAGCAAUUGAACAGCAAGGAGAAAAUCUGAUCUCUGAAUCAGAUAAAUUAAUUGAAGUUGGAGAUCCAGAAUCUUAGAAAUUUUGUCAAACUCUGAAGUUUAGAUGAAAAGAAACUACUCUGUUUUACAAAUCUCCAUCUCUUCAAGCUAUUGAUGAGGCUGUUGCCAAGAAAAUUUUUGUAAGGGAGAAUCCAGGAGUAUAUAUUAAAGCUAUCAGACUUGAAGAAGAAAGAUUAGCUGCUGAGAAGAUGAAGAUCAGCAAAUCAAAGUCUGAUAUGCAGAAGCAAAUCACUGAUCCUUCACAGAAACAGUCAAGACCAAGAGAAAAAGGGAUAGUGAUUAGUGAGAUAAAGUACUCUGAUAUCAACAGACCCAGAACCAGGUCUCAAGCAAAGUCUGAGACUGAUUCCAAGGACAAGGGAAAACAACCUGUUGAUGGUGUUCCUGUAUUAAAGAAGACUUCAAUCAUCAAAAUUGCAUCAGAUGUUCCCUUUGAGAGAUUGACUCAGAUGAGCAAAGAUAUUAGAGUCAUUACUGAUGUAUCUGCAAAUGAUGAAGAAGAAGAAAUUGGGCUGAUAAGAAAGAAAAAUACUGGAAUGACAACAUCUGAUCUGAAGUUAACCUCUGACAUUUCUCAAGUUAAAAUUCAAGAAACAAAGGCAAAAUCUGAUCAGUCAGAGUCUAUGAAGAGAAGAGCCUCAUUGCUGAAAUCAAGCUCUGAUAAAACACAAGAUCAGAACAAAAAGAAAAGUUUAUUUGGAAGUCUUGGAACUAGUCUGUAUACAGAAAGCUCAAUGCUAACCAGACUUAGACUUCAAGGAACCAGAGGCAAGGAAGCCUAUGACACAACUGGAUUGGGUCAUUGGAAAGAGAAAUUAGAAACAAGCUCAACAACUACCUUCAGAGAUCCAUAUCCUCUGACUGAUAAAAUUGGAGAAGUUGUCACUCAGAAGGAUCUUGAUAAGGUAGAGUCAGUACAAAUUCUGAUAGACACUCAUGAUGGUACAAGUGACAAAGAGAAGAUAGCAAUCUUUCUCAACAAUGGCAGAGUCUACGGAAUAUCAGAAGCUGAUUUGUUGUUGAAAUCUCUAAGGGAGCUUGAGCAUAUUCACUAUAUGCUUGAGGGAAAGAAUGAAGUAACCCAGAGAUGGUCUGAUCUAAUGAAAAGGACUAUUAUUGAAAAAAGAAUAUUAUGGAAUAAAGCCUGAUGAAGAGUACAUUUCCAAGAUAUCUCAAGAUGAUGGUUCUGAAAUUGAAAUGCAGAAGAACAGCUCUGUCAUGGAGACAUUAGCUGGAACCAGAAUUUUGAGGUACAACAAUGAUGCAGACAGAUAUAGAGAACUCAGUAUUUUUUCGGAUUUAUAAUAAUUUUAUUCUAUUGAAAUGGCUCCAUGGAGUAAACCCCCGGAGGGUGUUUGGAAGAUCAAUGUAAGUGGUCACAGUGAUGCACAAUUGGGCUCAUCUGCCAUUGGAUGUCUCAUGAGGACUAGGUCAGGACAUUUUUCAUGUGGUUAUUAUGGGAUAGUAGAACAUGCACAUCCUGUUUAUGUAGAUUUGUUGGCAAUAUAUUAUGGUUUUAAGAUGGCUGACGAGGAGGACGCAAGAUAUAUUGAGGUUGAGUCUGAAUCAGCAGCAGCAGUUUAUCUGGUGAAUAACCCAAACCAAAACGUUGAAUAUGACGAUAUUCUUCUAAACAUACGUAGGAUGAAGGACAUGGCUACACCAUCCUGUGUACUUCGGUACGUAGAGAGAUCAUCAAACCUUAUGGCUAUAAGAAUGUCUGCUUAUGCCUUCGAGAAAAGAGCAUCUAUCACUCGUUUAAAUUCUUGCCCAUCAGAUUUCUUCCAAGAACUUGCAGCUGAUUGGUAUUUUUCCACCUAAAAAAAUUAUGAAUUGAUCUGUAUUCUCUUCUUUAUUGUUAUAAACAUUCUAAAUGUUUUUCAAUCUAUAUGGUCUUUUUGUUGACUCGUACAGUUUUUUUCAAAACGUGUUCUGAACGUAAAAAAUCUAUAUUAUGAAGCAUCCACAUAGAAAGUGUUGAAGAAAACCCACCGUUUUUCUGUAAUUUUUUUAAAGGCUCUAUAUGAACAUCAGGAGGAAUAUCAUGAAGAAUACCUUAAUUUUAUUCUAGGAAAUAUUUAAAUUGUUAACUACGAAAUUAAACUAUUGAAAACUGAAAUAUCAUACACUUGAUACUGUUUUUCAUAUUAGAUUAAAAAAACAUUAAUUAAAAAAACAUUAAUUUAAAAAAUAUGUGAUCGAACUUGGAUGAAACGGGUCAAUUAUUCAACAAAAAACACUUCCAGGAAUACACUUAAAAUUAAAAGAAACAUUCAAAGGUUUUAUGGUAACAAUUUUUCUCUCCAAUAUUUCUCGAUCAUUGACAUAAAUAUCAAAAAAAAACCUGUUGACUUUAACCAUCCAGUAUUUAUUUUUAAUUUUUUUUACAAAAUUACAGAGCACGUACCAAUUUGAAAAACCGUGGUAUGUCACAUAUACCUUUUAUUAAAUAUUUUGUAGAAAGUUUAAACUUAAAUUUUAAUAAUAUGAAAUCAAGUUUUGUAAUAGUUAAUUUACAUUUCUCGAAUCAACUUCAUAAAAAAAUUGAAAUUCUCAGAGUUUCAAGUGUAUUGAAUCCUCUGAGUUAAUUUUUUUUUAAUUAUUGUACUAGCUAUAUAAAACAAAUCGAUUUUAUGAACCAGAAAGAGUACAUUGAAUAUAAAUCAAAUGAUCCGAUGAUAGUUAACAAAUAAUACAUGAAUCUAUUAAAUGUAAACUUAAUCUUAAGUCGUGUGUAAAGACCGAGGGUCCACCAAGGGAGACGUGACUGAAUUCCAAAAGACACUUGCUCUUUUUAGUAUAAAAACCCACUAAUUGCACUAUGCAACCGUAUUAAAAAACAAAGUUACAUCAAAAAAAUCCUUCCAAGAGUUCUAUUUAACAUCAUGUCUUCAGAUGCACAGAAGAUCAUUGCAGAUGCUGUCGAGGAGAACACAAGGAUGAAAGAAACCAUCAAACUCCUGGAGGAGGAUAACAAAAGGUUGAAAGAUGAGAUUAAGUUGCUUGAGAUACACCACUCAAACAAUGAAAGAAUGAUAGAUUUACUUAAGCGACACAAGGAAGAGCAACAGGCCCUCGGUCUUCACAUGAUAGAUCCAACUAAGUUUGAUCCACCACAAAUCGGUAAGAAGAGAAAGUUGGAACAAGGUGAAGGAAGCAAUGUUCCUAAAAGAUGAAGGAGAACAGAAGUAAGAAUAGAUUAAGUAAUUAAUUUGUAUGUUCUCGUUAUUGUGCAUCUUUUGAUCUUCCGAAAAUAUGAAAUAUAAAAAAUGCUUGAACAACUCAAUUUUAAUUCUGUCGUGGUUUCUGUGUUCAAUUUCCAUUUUGUCUUGGUUUUCAAUUUUGACUUGGUUUGUUAAUGGCCUAAAAUUUUUAUCCUAUAAAUAAAAACACCAUGCCGCACACAUCUAACGUAUUUAGUCAUUUUUGUGUUCCCCUAAGGGCCAAACUGGGAUUAUGAUGGCUAUGAGGAUAAACCAAUAAUCGAGUAUUUAACAUGUAUUUUAUUUGGUAACUUGUUGUCUACUUGGUAACACACGCGGCGAUAAUAAAAUCAAUGAAGAGUAAAAAAAAUUGAGUUUCAGAAAAUAAAAAAUUGAUUUGUUUACUUGGAUUUCAUAGGGUUAUCAUUUUUGAUGUAAAAAUGUUUUUAUCAUGAUGUUUUUAAUUUGAUCAAACUAUUCCAAAUAUGGAAUUUAUUAAUAACGACCCUAAAUAUUAAUUUUAAGCGAACCUCUUUUUAUUUUUUGAGAAUCGUUAAGAAGUUCCAGUUGCAUGGAAAAUUAAAAAUUCUCCUCUAGGACAAGAGUUACAUAGGGAUGGUCCCAUAAUGUGUUCACGCAAAAUUUAAAACGACUAAAGAGAUUUUAAUUUAGCUAGUAAAACUUCAUUAAUUAAGCUAAAAAACUAAACUCGGUUAUCCGUUUCUAUUCAAAAUUAUUAAUUAAUAUAUAUAUUUUAUUUUAAAUGUGGACAGAUCCGAGAACUAUUAUAUUUCUCAAUUAAAAAUAUAGUUAACAACCUCAUAACUGAACUAUGUAAAAACAAAUAAAAGAAUUUACAAUUUAACAGAGAACAAAUAAAUAGCAUUAAAUGCUGUGUAAAACGAGUUUACCUAUAUUUAAUAUGAUGAAAAAUUGUAAAUACACGAAAGCUUGACGGGCUUGUGCGAUGAAAAGAACCGUGCUAACGUUUCCAAAAAUUUUGUAUAGUAACUUUAGAAAUAUUCUUAUUACUAAAUUUGGUUUCAGGAUGGUGAUUGGAUCAUUUAAUUGAAUCGUUUGACCAUAUGUUGGAACGAAUAGAGUAACACUUGUAAAAAUCGAACAUAAAUAAUUUAAAAGAACAUAAAAAAAAUUCCGAAUGUAUGUGUUGUAGACUUUAAAAAGGUUUUUUCUCUCGUGAACAUGAAACAGAGCAAGUGCUAGAUAAAUUUUAAUGAUCAUGAAAAUAAAAAUAAAUAUAUAGUAAUAUUAGAAUAAGCAACGUGUUAACCAAUUUUUCGAACAAACAAUAAAUAAAGAAUAUCAACUUUUUCUAGACUCAAUGAACUAAUUUUAUUGUUAAAAGUUUGUAAGACAUUAAUUCUUUUAAAAAUAUUUAAGUGAUCAUUAACAAUAUCGGACAAAAAAUCAUGUUGCCCAUGUAUUCGUCUUGGUUUUUCUAAUUAAAGAUUUAAUUUUUUUUAUGUUCUUGAAAUGCUCAAAAAAAUAUGAUAAACAAGAAAUCUGUACUGUGUUCAUGUCAAUGUUUAAGAUUUUUUUGAGUUUCACUAAGGUGUGGUCUAUGUUUCUGAAGAUAAAUGUAUUUUUUUGUAAUAAGAUUAGAUAAAAUAAUCAACUUUGUUCCAUAACAAAAAACAUGAAAAACAAAAACCCUAAAACGUGUUCUAGGUAUAAUAAUUAUUAAAUAAUAUAUAUAUUAAAAAAAAUGCCCAAAGAUAUUUUCCACUACGGAGUACAUUUUGAAUAAAGUUUAAAAAAGGCUAACAUUAAUUUAUUUGGAUUACAUUCAGAGUCCGUAACGUGUUCGUGUAAACCCUCUGAAGAUGUUUUUGGUUCGACCAAAGGUGAAUUCGUUGUUUUUGUAGAAAAAUAUAUUUUUUGAAAAUAAGAUUUGAUAAAAUGCCUGACUUUGUUCCAUAACAGAAUCAUAAAAAAAACAUAAAUUCUAUAACGUGUUCUCGUAAAAUUAUCAGGUUACUUAUCGAUGUAAAAGCAAUAAAUCUUUCUUUAGAAUUCUUGGUUUAUACAUUUAUUAUAAUUAAAUUCCAGUUUCGGCUAUUGGUUCGAGAGGAUUAGAGCAGUAAUAAUGUCUGAAAAGUAAUUAGACUGGGUAAUGCAACAUUGAAUCCCGCUUAACGAGGAUAACUCCUUUAUUGUCCAAAUUAAGCCUUAUUAUCGCUAACAUACUUAAGACAAGCCUACAUUUUUUAAUUCACAAAAACAUUAAUUGAAUGUUAUUACUCUUCGUUACCCAUUUAAUCUGUAACUUGUAAACCCCGACUGUAUUAUACUCGACUGCUCUCCUGGUAGAGAGAACUCAGAAAAAAUCAACUAAACGAACACAAUGAAAAGGAGGAUUCAUCUCGGAAAAGCUGUAAGCACAGGUGUGAUAGCAAAUUAGAAAAAAUUCAAACCUCUUUCAAUUAGUGUAGUCUCUUAAGUGUGGGUAAUUUGUUUGUACAUAAUUGAUCUCUUUUUUUGGUUUUCUUAGUUGAUCCAGAAAUUUUGAACGAUGAUCAAGGCGAUCAGUACUUUAGGUAUGUCAAGUUUUAUGAGCUAUUCUUGUUUUGCAUGUAGUCAAUUGACAAAAAAAUCCUAUCCAAUUGUUCCUUUAUCUUCUAAAAUCAAUCCAGACUUUUGUGGGCAACACUGGACAAGAAGAAGAGGAAAACUUGUUUAUAUGUAGAUCCUCUGGCAACAAAAUACUAUUAUCACAAUAAAAAGGGGAGAGAAAAGAUUUUUAGUCGACUGAUGAAGGACAACUUCUUUGAGAUGAAAUAUGUUUUUUUCCCAAUUUGUUUGUGGUAAGUCUCAAAAAAUUGUCAUUUCUAUGUAUUAUACAUUUUAAGUGAGUUUGUUGAUGAUAAUAUAAAGCAUUUGUUAUUAUUAUUCAAUAUAAUUUUUUAAAAAAUCCCAGGAAUCAUUGGGUGUUGAUAGUGUUGUGCAACCCAAGCAACAAUCUAAAAGGUGGGGCUUAACGCCCAACAAUGCUGCUGUUGGAUUCAUUAAAGGGUUCCGAAUCUGGAAAUGUUGAACAGUUUAUUCGAGGGAAUUUUUUGUUUUACCUCUUCCGCUUUGAUGUUAAACUGUACAUGCACGUAUAUUUACACUGCAAGAUUGAUUUUUUCCAUUUCAAAAUGUAGUUUGUUGAACUCUUUUUACAAAUACGCAAAAAGAAGUUGUUCAUUGAAGAACAUUAACUCGAUUCCUUUGUUGAUGCCUGAGGUAUUUUCAGAUUAGACGAAUUUUUUAUGUUCAUUCUAGGAUGUUUCUGUUUACUUUUUAUAUUUUUUAACAGGUGCCAAAACAAAAUGAUGACAAAAGUUGUGGUUUCUAUGUCUUGUUCUAUACAACUCAGUUCUUGAAGAUGUGUCCUUAUACGUUCAGCUUAAUGGCUGAUUAUCCCUCAUUUGUAUGUUCUAUACUUACCACGAUAUAUUUCAUAUGUGUUCUUUCAACUGAUGUCUUUCUUCGUUUUUAUUAGAUGAGUAAAACUUGGUUUACUGCUGAAGAUGUCGAAGAAUUGCGCAGUGGUUUGUUGAAUCUUUUUCGGAAAACAGGUAAGAAAGCAUACAACACCAGUGGUUCACAGAUUCAAAAGUUAUCUGACGAUGUAAAUCUUGUAAAACAGGUUCAGGAGCAUGGAGGAGCAAGUGUGAUAUGGAUAUGUUGAGAUUAAUAGAUACCUGUAAAUCUGCAGGUAAAAUCUUAUCAUUUAUAUAAAAACACAUAUAUAUCCCAGUAGUAAAUUCUGUUUUCAAAACUUUAAAAAUGUUCUUAGUUGCAUUUGUGGUUUAAUAUCAUAUAUAUAUUGUUAAACAACGUAGGUAACAGUGUUCAACGGAACAAUAGGAAGAAUCCCAAAAGGGGGCGUCCUGAUUGCAAAAAAGAUGAUGAUGUUACACUGGUAAGCCUAUAUAUUUUAGUUUCUGAUAUAAAGAAAAUUGAACAAAAUCAUUAUUCCUAAAUACACUAACCAUGCAGGUUUUCCUUGAGAAGAAGCGAAGAACUCGCGAGACAAAGGAACAAGAAACUGACGACAGAGAUGAUGACAAGAUCGUCUGUCAAGGGAAUAAAUUGUUCAUGAAACUGAGUCCAUCGCUUUUUUGUGACAUGAUCAAGAACUUGAGCGUGUCACAGAGAGAAUGGAUCUCACAGACUGGAUUUGGGAGUAUUUUGAAUUUUGACCUUAAAAGUUAUCCUAAAUAUCUAUCUUACAGUGUUGUCAAUAACUUUGAUUAUGACUCAUGCUGCAUCGUAAUAUGUGGUAGGUCCAUUGAGGUUUCUGAUGUUGAUGUUCAUGAUGUCCUUGGACUACCAUUAGGACCGCAAAAAAUACCUUUCGUUAAGAGUGAACCUUUAGCGAAGGAGUGGAGGAAGCAGUACGGUGAAAGCAAAAAUUCUUUCAGAGUAGCUGUAAAGGAUGUCAUCAGCGCUGUUAAUGAUUCAAUGCUGGCUGAUGUUAAUUUUAAACAAAACUUUAUAUCUCUUUUAAUAUGUUUUUUCUGCCAAGUUCCAUCGAAUUCGUACAUCAGGCAGAAUUUGUUAGGUUGUUGUUGUGACCUAGACCGUUGUUUUAAUUACAAUUGGUGUUAAUUUGUUUUAAGAUGUUUGAAAAAGUCUACAAAGUUCUGGCUGCAAAACAAGGAAACAAGAUACUAUACGGGCUCGUUACCGCUUCUACUGGUAUAUUAUUUAGAUUCUCUUAUUGGUAAACUAUUAUGACUAGUUUGACAGAAUUAUCAUGGUAACAUUUUUACUUUUUCUUUACAAUACAUGUUUCUUGAUACUUUCAUUGGGAAGAGAGCCUUCUCAGACAGGAAUCUUCCUAGGUUUACUCCUUGGAACAACUACUGUUUGAUUAAGCUGGAACAAGUGCUGAUACAGAGAUCAUUUCUAGUAAAUGGAGAAUUGCGAACACCAGACAUUGACUAUAUGACUCUGCAAGGUUGCAGAGUAAAGGUUGUUUUAAAGAAUAUUUGGUUGUUUGUAUAAACUAUUUGGGUUUCUAUAAGUAUAUAAGUUACUUAAUUAGUCACUUUAAACAAGCAAAUUCAUGUUUGUUGCAAUGUUUUUUUAGGGUAAGAUUGAUGAUGCUGAAGUUCAGACGGAUACCCACGCAACCCCUGUGGAAGAAAUGCAUCUGGUAAUUAUCCAUACAUUAAGCUAAUUACCAAACUAUAUGAAUGUUGUAAUUUAAAAACCAUUCUACUACUGAAAGACUGCCCUAUAAACUACACUCUGAUGAUUUAUUUCAAGGAGCGUGGCAAUUGGUGUUCGUUGGAGAGGGAUGAUGGAGAUCUUGACUGGGAUCUAUUACCGAAGGUUUUAAUUAGAAAAUUCCAUCAAUUAUGACAUAUUUUUUAAAAAUCAGUUUUUUUUGCAUCUUUUUUAUUAACUAAACCUUGAUAUUUGUUUUUGUUUGUAAAGUCUACAACCAAGGGCCAAGAGUGGCCCUGUAGAACCGCAUACAGGGCGAGCAGCUCAAGAACGUCCUAUCACCAGGUUAACAUCUAUUACAAUAUGUUCAUUUAUUUUUAUUUUAUAUUUGUCUUAAAAGAAUAGGAUACAAAAUAGUUGAUGUCUUAAGCUAUUAUCAAUCGUUGUUCAGGAAAAACAAGAAUGGUCUGAUAAUAAUCGUGAUGUCAAAGUUCAAGGAACUGAACCCAGUUCAAUUUUUGAACAGGUUACGUAUAGUUUUUUUUUAAAUAUUAAUUUUGUUCAUAAUUAUUUUUAUGUAUAUAAUGGUUAAUUUUUGUUGACACAGGUUAAGACUUCUGAGUGGAUCGGGUGCACGACUAUAGACGAAGACAAAUUUGUCAAUGUUUGUUAUUCUCACUGAUUGUUAAUCCUCAUACAAUCAUACUAGCAAAUAAAUAUACUUAUGUUCUCUAGUGAAAAAUUUUACUUAUUUCUCAAAUUAACAUAUUUACCCUUUUUAAAACAGGAAAAACAUAGAUUGAUGGAAUCUCUUUUGACUUCAUACCAGUCAGUUCAACAAACUUUCUUGCUACAUAUGUUGUAUGCAAAGGACAACGAGGUCCCUGAUGAGUAUACAAUCAACUAUUCGGUUAAGUUAUUUGACUUGAAAAUGAGUAAAACUAAUUGAGUUAUGGAAUCGUUUAAAGAAAACAAUUAAAUUAGAACUGUAAGGCAUGCUACUACAAUGUUAUUCAAAUGAAAAAAUGUAAAAAAGUUUACUUUCCAAUUAACAAACCCAGAUUCAUAUAAAAUAUUAAAGCAAAACAAAAAACAAUUUAUCAAGUUUAAAAACGAAUUUGAUCAAUUCUUUUCAGGACACGUCCUUGAAUCAUGAAAAGCAUAUUCCUUGCAUGUUGCACACUUCCUUUUCUUUCUUUUGUUACAGCCAAUAGACUAUUCUGCUCCAGAUACAAUUUUUUUUCUGCUGCCUUUGUUGUUGCUUUUGUUUGGAUUCUGUAUGGUCACCUCUUCAACAACACGAGAAUCUAUCAAUUCUUCAAUUUGUUCAGAAUUCAAUCGGGUCUUCGGCUUCUUCAUUAUCACUGUAAUGUGCUUCCGCAUACUACUCAGCGCACUUUUAAUAUACUCCAAUAUUUCCGGAUUUCCAGAUGCAUCACUGAGACAACCCUGAAAUUCGAACCAACAAUCUUGCGACUUAACGCGUCUAGAUAAUUGUAUUGUACCACUAUCAGCUAUUUCUCCAAGCUCUAGUGUACUGAAACGCUCUAUGGCGUUCUUCAGCCACCUGUUGCAUACAUACUGUCUUGGAAUUAAUUUUAUCCCGCAUAUGCCAAGGCUAAAAAAAGCAUGAGAGCAUAGGUAACCAGCUUUGGUGAAAAGUUUGCACGAACAUUCAAUAUUGUUUGUGUCCAUGUUUACUUCAACCUGUGAAAUGAUACAUUUUAGCAGGGGAAUUAUAGUAUCCUACCAAGUCUAAUAAUACAUCAUUGUAGUUUUUGCAAAAAACAAUAAAUAUAUUGAUUCUUACAAACCUUGAAAGUGAUACCCUUCUUGAAUGUGUCUUGAAUCAUUAUUGUUCUUGUAUUGUCCGCAAAACUCAUGCUUAAGACGACAACAUCCAUACUACCAGCUUUGAUCUCCUCCUGUACUUUAUAAAACAUAGCCCUGGUGUAAAGCCUCAAUGCAUCCUUCUCAAUUUCUUUGUCAGUGAUUAAUUUUGGUGUGAAAUCAUCAUAGUGGGUCAAUUUCUUCGAGUUGUUCCUUUGUUUGUCAAUUGCGCUUUGAUAACAGAGAUAAAACUCUGAAAGUGUGUCUCCUCUUUGAACAUAAUUUCCAAAAUAAAAAUUAGAACUCUCUUAUCUAGAUGUUGUUCGAAGAAGUCCCACCAUUGGCUCGUCAUUAAAGGAAGCUGGAAUCCAAAACUUUCUCAGUUCAAACAUUUCACUGAGCCACACAUUGUCACUUAAGUCAAAUUCUUCGACAGCAUCAGACCAUCCAUGUUCAAACUCUUCUGGAGUUAUAUGAUCUGACCAGAUAAACUGGUUAAGAUUCUCCAUGAAGCCUGACUCGGCGCAGAAAACAGUACCAAGCUACAUAUAUCACGGUUAGAACAAGAGUUAAAACAAGUAUAUCUUUUUAUUACACAAAAUAUAGCGUAUAAAAGAUAGAUAUAGAAUUGCGUGGUGAUUUUACUGUACAAAAAAACAAUAUCAAAUUUAAUUGUACACAUAUUGUUGUAAUUUUCUAAGGGAAAUUUACCUUUGAAGGAAAUUUUUUCAUUAUAUGCCACAUGCAAAGACGGUGCUUAACUAACGGAAAGCAAGUUUGGAGAGCAACCUUCAUUGCAAGGUCUUGAUCUGUGAUUAUACAUUUAGGAUUCUUGACAAAAACCUUCUUGAAAGAUUCACAAGCCCAUAUAUAGUUAUCGUUGUCUUCCUUCUCAAGCAAUAUUGCACCAAAAGUUACACUCUUCCAGUGGUUAUCUAUUCCUACUAGAGGAAUAAAAACCAUUCCAUACCUUUCAAAAAUAAAAAAGAUUAGUUGCCAUCUUGUAUACCGAACUAUAUAUCGUAAGACAUUAACCAGAAUACCUGUUCGUCCUAUACGUUGCAUCAAAUGAAACGGCAUCACCAAAAACUUCAUAAUUUUUUCUCCCAUCACCAUCUGCCCAGAAUAAUUGCGUUAGAUGAUUAUGUGAGUCAGUUCGGUAUUCAAAUCUAAAAUGGGGGUCUGAAGAAUCUUGUAUAUCCUUGAAUUUCUGAACAAUCAUAUCAGCGUCGUGCUUCCCAAUAUGUUGUUUAAUAUCCCUAGAAAAGUUUUUAAAAUCAACAACAGUAGCUCCUAUAUCUUCAUAUGAACCAAUCAUCGAUCUUAGAAUGGUAUGGGCUCGUGAAGCACCAAUGUUUGAUUUAGAAGCAUCGACAAUGAACCUCAUGUGGAACUCAGAUAGGGACCUGCUGCACCUCAAGAAUUGCAUUCCUCCCUUACCUGCAAAAGGAUAAUUGUGAACCUCUGUAAAUUUUUUCACAAAAAAACCUCCAGCGUCAUGAAUCCCAAGCACAAGUUUUGCAUGACAUUCGCACUUUGUUGAUAUAGUUCUCCUUUUUAUGUUCUCUUCAAGAUUUUUGUCUUCCGACCUACCUGAACUAGAACAUACGUAAUACUUUGUUAUAGUGUUACCAAACCUAUCACUCUUUUCCGUUGAACGACGAACAUCGAAUCCAGAUUGUCUGUCGUAUUCCUUAUAAAAAAAAUAUAGCCCUAAUCAAGAUCACUGAAACGUUGGCCCAAUUGAGGUCUGAAGCUGUCAGAACAUUCGGGGAUCCAGUCCUUUCCAAGGUUCUGUAGAUCAACACCAUUAAAAAGACUAGAACCCUCGUGUAAAUUGUUGCUUGAAGCAUCUACAAAACAAUAAUAAUAUAACAUGUAUAGUCCAUUGUAUGUUUCAACCAAAUCAGUAACUUGAUUGGUAGAAUGAAACAUACAUACCAGAAAUGGAUUGAUAAGAACGAUUGAUCUCCAUUGAGAGACUUGAGCAUGAACGUACAAAAAAUACAAAUACGAACAGGCAUAAAUCAGGGAUAUAGAUUGUAUUCAUAAUCUUUUUAUUAAAGGAAGGUUUGGUAAUGAAUCUGUGAUUGAUACAAUGAAACGUACGUAUUUAUAUUUUUAGGAUUUUAACCCUUCCGUCUACUGCCCUUAUACGACUUAAACAGUAUUUGUACUAAUCUAACGUAUAGUGAAUCUGGCCACAUAUUUAAAACUGAAAUGGUAGUCUUUACUUUUUCCCUUUCACUCGUAGUAUGGGGAAGAAGUGGACUCUAGAGGUACUACGAAUUGAUUGAGUAAUCAAACCAUAUCAAUUGUUUUCUAGAUCGUUCUGCAGCAUUUUUGAAUGAAAAAAAUAUAUUUUCAGUUAGAGCUUACUACGGUUGUGUAGGUGGUCUCUCGAGUCUCUCGCAUUGCCUCGGUCUCUUUUGAACCUCCCCCUAUAUAUAUAUAUAUAUAUAUAUAUAGGCUCCUACACCAAUACAAACUACUAAAAUACAAACCAACACGAUUAAGUAGAAUGGUAAGGAUUUUGGGACCGGAGAUGGACCCCGAGAUGAGCUUCAACGGGGUCUAAGUAGGGCCUAAUCGGGGCGGGGUGUAGUUGGAUCAUGGUGGGGCCAAGUUUUGGUUCUUAAGGCUGUCUGGAGCUUGUCCAGGGCUUGUGAGGAGCUUUGGCAAGGCCUUAGCGGGCCCAAGAUGAAUUGAGUGGGGGUAGGGGUGAGGGUGGGCUCUAGGUAGGUGAUUAUAGGGUGGGUGAUAACAUAUAGCAUAUAGGGGUGGGUGAUAGACAUUUAAGUAUAGUUUCUCUUGGUUUGUAUUUUAGUUUUUAUUUUAAGGGUUUGUAUUUGAAAAAUUGUGCAUGUGUGUGUGUGUGUAUAUAUAUAUAUAUAUAUAUAUUAUAACUUAACUAUAAUUUAUAAUAUUAAGUCAGUCCUUGACUUAUUAUAUAAAUGGACAUUUUCUGAUUUUUAUUUUGUUAUCUACAUAUUUUGUCAAUUAGAUAUAUCAUUGGAUAUAUAAAACAUAUUCGAGAUGCUGAAAAAACCCAUUAAUUAAAAUAUAAACUUCAAAGUAUACAUUAUAGACUACAUUUUGUUUGUUGCAGAGACUAAAAAUAUGGAAAAUGUUAGGAAAGAAUAAGAAUGAAUAAAUUAAUAUAAAUCAUCAAACAUUCAAUUGAUAUAUUAGAAAAUUUUAAUGAAAAUAUGGGUGAUUCAUUUAGUAAAACAUUAGAUUUUUUAACAUAAUUCUAUGAAUUUUGACUCUGUAAUUAAAAUUUAUAUCUUAAAAUUUUAUUGUUGUGAAAAAAAUUAUACCUGAUGAAAUUUUAUAAAUUUAAAAAAAAAUUACUAAUAUGUUUUUUAGACUUUGAGAUGCUGGAAACACCUAUUAUUUAAGACUUAACUUAAAAGUAUCAACUAAAAAUUAUUAAUUUUGAUAAAUAAAUUUUAAAUAUCAUUUAAAUAAUUUUAUUGAUGUAUAUUUACUUCGUUUCCACCCAUUUCUUAAUGUUAUUUAUUAAAGAUGAGUACAAAAUUUACAAAGCUAGAUCAAUAAAGAGAAGAAAAUGAAAAGGGAAAAUAGAUUUUUUUUGUCACCAAACUUAUUAUGUUUUUAGAAACUUGCCACUCAACUAAAUUUUUUUUCCUUUUGGUCACUGAUGUUAGGUUUGGAUUUGUUUUUAAUCACUAAUUUAGGUUUGGAUAUGAUUAUUAGCAUUGUGAUAAUUUUUUGUAGCAUCAUUAAUACAUAGUGAUAGCAUAUAAUUUUUUGAUAAUAUGAUGUAUGUUUAUAUCUUUGUAUAUAGCAAUAAUAAUAUAAAAUGAGGUGAUAUAAUAUUAAAAUCAGGAAAAAUCGUAAUUAGAAUUCUAGAAAUUCAUUAAAUCAUCAGUAUGGAAUCAAUGACUUUAAAUAAUUUAUGCUCUCCAUGAUAAAAUAAAGUCUAAUUGAGUGAUACGAUGCAUCAUCUUUCACUAUUAAAGUUUCAAUCACCUAGUUCAGCCUAAGAUCACUCUUAAAUUUAUCCUCAUAAUUUUUAAUAACUUUAUCUUAUUAUAAUUUUCAAGAUAAAGAUAAAUAAAUAGAGAGGAAAACUUAAUCUUCGAUGAUUUAUGAGAUUUUCUUUUUGCGUAUAAAAAUUCAAACACUAAAUUUUUAUUCGGAAGAAAAAAUAAAAUAAUUUAUGAGAGUGUACUAUUAAAAACCGUAAAAUGCAUGUUUAACUCUUAUCACCGAAGAUAAACGAUCUUGGGUACAUAAAAGUACUAUAUAUAAAGAUAGACAUAUAUCAAAUCAUCAAAAUAUUACAGGUUAUCACUAUAUUUUAACAAUACUACAAAGAAUUAAUAUAAUGGCAAUAAUCAAAUCCGGACCUAACUUUAAUGGCAAAAAAAAAUCCGAAUCUAACAUCAGUGACUAAAAGGAAAAAAAAAUUAGUUGAGUGGCAAAUUUCUAAAAACAUAAUAAGUUUGGUGACAAAAAAAUCUAUUUUCCCAAAUGAAAAUGGAUAAAAUGGUACUCCCUCGUCCCAAUCAAUUCUAUACAAUUUUCUUUUUGGGAUGUCCAAUCAUUUCUAUACAUUCCCAAAAUAGCAACUUUUUAUAAUAUAAAACACUACUACACCCACUACAUUCUCCCAAUAUCUCCAUUACAUAAUAAUAAAAACACUAUUACACCCACUACUUUACUCCACUAUAUCAAAUCUAUUAUUAAAAACGGUUUGUCUAGUGUGUGCCCAUGGGCACAUGCUAAGCGCGGAAACUUUUGGAUUUGGGAGAUUUUGAUUGGUGUGGUUGGUGUAUUUGCAGGGGGUCCACCAUUAUCAAAAGAGAGGAGCCAAUCAAAAUCUCCCAAGUACAAAAUUUUCCGUGCUUAGCAUGUGCCCAUGGGCACACCAUAGAAAAACCGUAUUAAAAAACAUGUGGGUCCCACCACUUUACUCACUUUCCAUCUAACUUUACUCAUUUCUCACAAUUUUUCUUGGUCUCCGUGUCUGAUCUCAAUGUAUAUAAUUCAUUGGGACGGAGGGAGUAUAAAUCAACGGUAUUUCAAUUGAAAAUUUAAAAGGCGAUGAGACGCCUAGGUCGAGAUCAACUUUUAUAAUAGUAGUAUAGUACUCGAUAUUAUUUGUUUCAUUUAAGAAGGUAUUGGACUUAUUCUUUUUGAUUCAUUUAAUAAGGUAUUUGAUUUUUCACUUGAAUUCUAUAAAUAAAACUAAUAUCUUUUACUUUUUCAUUAAAGAAAUAUACUUGCUAUACGUUUACUCAAAACUUUUAUAAAAUAUUACUUUACAUUAUCCAUUAAAAGUCACUAGCUACGCAAAAAUCAAAUUAUUUAUAAAAAGGAUUGAGAGAGUAUUUUUCUUUUACUACUUUUAGGAUAUUUUAAAAUAUAUAAAAUCGAGAGGAAUAUUAAAAAAUAAAAGAAAUUGUUUAAAGUUAUAAAAGUAGAAGGAUAAAAGACAAAUUUAUAAUACAUGUAAAAUGGUACCAAGUUAGUUGUGUGUAUUUUGAUCAAUCUAAUCAUUAUUUCAUUUGUCAAUUUAUUUCUUCUGUUCAAAAUUCACAUCCCCUUUGUAUACACUUACUCAUUAAUCACUAUACAGCAUUUCACAUGGGGUAGAAAAUAGAUUUUAGAUUGUAAAGCAUCAGUCCACACAAUUUCUUAAUUGCAAAAAUAUCUGAAAAAUCUCAUCAAACAGACCGAUGAGCUUUGUUACAGUGCUAGAAUUUGAACAAAAGAGUUUUGCUAAAACCUCCAAAAUGCAUCAAACACCACCAGAAUUUAACCUGAAUUAUUACUGUUCCUUGGAGAACCAUGGUUCUCAUCAACUGGACUCCGAUCCUCCCUGGGGCUAGGACUAGGCCCGUGGCCAUUUUCUUCCGAAGGACUCCUAUGCCUGGGGAUUUGUCUCUCUGCAUCCUCCAAAGGACUCCUGCUCCUUGCUUUGCUCCGCCUAUGAUAAUCUGACCCAUUUCCCUGCUUGCUAUUCCCAGGGGAAGGAGUGGCUCUACCUCGUGGGCUCUGCUCAUCAGGAGAUAGACUAUACUUCCUCCCUUUAGUUGGUGGUGGUGAAGAUCUGCGUCGCCUAGGACUCCUUGAUCUUCUCUCGGCACGUUCAACACUACGCUCCUUCAGGGGUGAUCUUGAACGGCUGGAGCCAUAAUAAUGAUAUUAGGACAAUGGAGGCAGUCCAGUCUAAUCACUAGACAAAUAAGCAUCAACUAUUAUAUGAAUAUACGCGUUACAAGUAAUUAACCUGUAGCUGCGAUCCCUGCUGUAACUAGGGCUUCGACUUCUGCCAUGGCCAGGAGAUGGUGUCCGAGAGUAACUUCGUGCACGUCUAAUAGCAAGAGUAAUUGGUUAACAUUGAGUUGAAAAGGAAGUACGACAAACUUUGAUACCAUAAUUGAGUUUGAAUAAAUUUAAGUAAUAAAGGAAGUACGAGAAACUUUGAAUACCAUACUUGAGUUUUUUGGGACUGUUCUGACAAUUCUUUUCAAUAUGACCACGGUCCCCACAGCGAUAACAUUUGUUCUUCCAGUCCCCAGCCUUGCAAUCACGAGCCCAAUGACCAUCAAUACCACAAUUAAAGCAUCGUCCGGAUCCAGGAGCAGGCCCUUUCCCAAGAAAUUCCCGAGAUCCCCCCGGGCCACGUGGUGCCUACAUUGCAUGUUAAAUACAUUUAGCAUAAUAAAGGGGACACUGAAGAACAAAAAAGGCAUAAUCAAAUACUCUAAUCAGAGACUAAUAACUCAUUAUCACCAGUUGUCAAUUUUGCACAAACAAAUUAUACUUGUAUGAAAAACAGCUUGAUAGCCUAAAUUUACUGUAAAAAAAGCCUAAAUUUACUGUAAUAAAACAGCGAAAUACAAUUAGAGCAUAUUGUAAUAAGCUUACCCCCUUAGCAAAUUCGACUACAAUACGACUCCCAUCAACAUCUCGACCAUUUAAGCUAUAUCUUGCAUCAUCAGCAUCCCGAGAAUCGCUAAAUUCCUAAAACCAUUAAGGUGAGGGGAAAGCUCAGCGUACUUCCCGUAUUAAUUGGAAGAAGCUAAUACAAUAUGCAAGAAAAGGAGAAUAAAUACAGGAAAGAAGUAUAAAAGGAAAAAAAACUGCAUACCACAAAGGCGAAGUCACGCUUCAUAUCCACAUCACGGACUCUGCGAAUGGUGCCAGAAACAACAAGACCGUCAUGAUGUAAGUACUAAAGGUUGGCACCUUGCCCCACAAAGAUGAACUAAACUCCACUUUGAAAUUGUUGCCAUUUCCAUGAAAAAAAUAUGCAAUAAUAAUAUAGAAAGAAUCUCCAAAGUUCCCUAUACACUCUGCAAGAAUUGCGACCAAUUCCAUCAUGGGCAACCUCUCACCACAAACCUCCAGGUGAAGCCCGGAAACCUUCAUGAAGAUCAUUCAAGUUAAGUAACUUAGAUGAGUGAGAGGUGAAACUCUUUGAAAAAAUUGUUUUGUGGAAAAAUGAGUGCCAAUGUCAAGCUUGGAUAUGUCUUGGCAAAGCCUUCAAUUUGGACUAUAUACCCCAUAGCAAAAUAACCCCGAAAUAUGACGACUGGCCACUAAUGGAAAGAUUACAUAAAUUAUUGUAAACCAUAUUCAAUAGAUCGACAAUUAUUACAAUCAACUAAGCAAAACCCCAAAAAGUAACAAGCACCAUCUUAUUUCCAAUAACAAUUAAAACACUAGCAGAAUUAAGUUUCAUACAGGAAUGUGGAUGCAAACAUGGAAUAUGUAUACAUAGAACGGUGAACCUUGUCAAACCAAAUUCUAACCUUCCAUAUCUGCUGAAAACAUCCUCCAAGUCACGGGACCUUGUUCGUGAAGACAGGUGGCCAACAUAGAGACGGGUCGUUCCAUGGCGAUCAUCAUAGCGUGGCAUUGUCCCUAAAACAAACACAGUAAUAGAUUUACACAUAAGCAAUUACGACAAUAUAAAAGCUUGAUAAUUAUACACACAGAAAACAUAAACAAAUUAUAAAAAUUCACCAGAUUCAUUAACUUGCAGUUUUGUCAAAACACUACUUGCUAAAAGGUAUAGCACACGCCUUUGUAAUUGUCCAACAUGAAAUAAUAAAACUAGUUAUUAAUAAGGUGAAAAAUAAGCAUCCUGAUUCAAACCUACACAUUUUCGAGAAAUAAAUAUUGAGAACUUGACGACUACUUAAAACAUCUACUAUCUAUUAUAUACUCCCUCCAUUCCAAAAUAACAGUCGCUUUGACUUUGUGCACGUAUUUUGAUGUGUAAAAAAAACAUACUUCCACACAUUAUUUUUGAAAUUUUCUUUUUGUGAAUAAAAAUUUAACAUCUCUAUUUUUAUUCAGAAAAAGAAAUUUUUAAAAAUAAUAUGUAAAAAUACGCUUUUUUUACACCUCAAAAUACGUGCACAAAGUCAAAGCGACUAUUAUUUUGGAAUGGAGAGAGUACUUUACACAUACAUACAUUACUUGAGUUAAAUCGAAAAGUCAGGUAGAUUUAUCGAAAAUGAAAACGACAUAGAAACAAUAACAUAGCGGCGUUAAGUUGCGGUGUAUGUAAUUAAUCAAGUUAAACAUAAAUGACUACUAGUCUAAGAAACACAGAUCUGAGUGAUUAUAAUUGCAGAGUAUAAAAAUUAUACAAGGAGCUAAAAUAGAAUAAUAUAUACAUGUG